UACGUAGGGGGCAAGCGUUGUCCGGAAUCAUUGGGCGUAAAGCGCGUGUAGGCGGCUUGGUAAGUCCGGUGUGAAACCUUGGGGCUCAACCCCAAGCCUGCAUCGGAAACUGCCUCGCUCGAGUCCGGGAGGGGAGAGCGGAAUUCCUAGUGUAGCGGUGAAAUGCGCAGAUAUUAGGAAGAACACCGGUGGCGAAGGCGGCUCUCUGGAACGCAACUGACGCUGAGACGCGAAAGCGUGGGGAGCAAACAGG
rnacentral:rRNA from 1 species